rnacentral:ncRNA from 2 species
UUCCAGCAUCAGGAGUGUCCUGGCCGCUUUAAGCCAGGUCCGGCAACCGAGCUUUGGAGACGCUACGGUGCCACGAGUCGCAAGACUCAAUGUGCGGACGAAAGUCCGAAAGGAUGUCUCCCGACAG